CUGGGAAAUCUGUAAUCUUUGAAAACCUAUAAAAUCUCCUUUGUAGAGAUUACCAUGAGGAUAACUGGGUGGCCAAGCGUUCAUAGCAAUGUCGCUUUUUGAUCCUUCGAUGUUGGCUCUUCCUAUCAUUGUGAAGCAGAAUUCACCAAGUGUUGGAUUGUUCAGCCACUAAUAUGGAAUGUGAGCUGGGAUUAGACUGUCGUGACACAGGUUAGUUUUACCCUA
rnacentral:ncRNA from 1 species